UUGCUGGAGAUCUCUGUGUCCCUGAGGCCUUCUGAAGGGCUUCAGGACAGAAGUGCCGCAAAUGUGGAGCUGCGUGGCAAAGCCCUGCGGGUCCCCACCCUGCACUGCUGCAGGUCCACGUCCCACUGCAGGCACAUCACCUCACCUCUUUGGUCUUGUCCAGGUUGUAAGCACAGUCUCAAAGCAUUUGCCAGUGCUCCAGACUUCAGACUUUGCUUCACAAAUGCAACUUGUUGAGCCAUCCUCCAAGGUUUGGGCAAAGCACCAGUAGAAAACAACCUGUGCUCUCAGCCUCACAGUGUGUGGAUAUCUCUUGUACCUUCCUACCUCUGAAGUCCCAGCUGAGCACAAAAAGUAGUGGAGAAGCCUUCUUCAGAGAAGAGCAAACCCAACCCCGGAGUGCAUCUCUCACCUGUACAUCUCUCCUUUGAGUGAUGGAUUUCCAGCCAGGGGUGUAAGAUUCAAUCAUGCUUAUCGCUGUGUUCAGCCCUGCAUAAUGAGAUAAUCCUAACAAUGUCCAAUUCACUUUAAAAUCAAGCCAAGGUACCUUCUUCCAUAACCUUCUGCAGCAGCAGCUCUCACAGGUGAUGAAAGAUGUCUGGGUAUUUAUUUUCAUCCUAAAUUUGCCAUUUUUAAUUUAACUGGAUGCUUGUUCUCAUGUGAUGUGAUAAAGUGAAGGUCUGAUGCUGUGUUCUUGAGAAUUUUGACUUCCACAAUCAGCUCCACUUUAAUCUUCUUCUCAGCAAAAUAAUUCCAGACUGUGCCAUCUCUCAUAUGUUAAUCCUAUCAGCUCUGUAAUUAUUUUCAUUAUAAUUUCUCGAGCAUUUUUGGACUCUGCUACUUCUUCUGAGAGAAGAGGGUAAAAAUAUGAACGCAGAAUUAAUGGGGAUCUGUGGCAUAAUCCUGUGUUAUCCUGAUGGUUUUGGCAUUCUGUUCUAUUUUUAUUUAAUAAAUGUAAACAAUCCUUUUAUAUUUUAAGCUGCUGCUACAGGUUGAGCAACAUCAGAUGCUGAUGACUCCCGAUGCAGGUUCUUUUCCCUCAGAGGUACCUGGAAAUUCAGGUCUUGUCAGAUCACUGAAGCUAUAUGGCUAAUCGCCGAUGAUUUGCAUUACCUUGCAUUUAGCCAUGUUCAGAGCUGUCUGCCAUCGUGAUGCUCAGCUUCCCACUGUGCUUAAAUUCAUUAGGCAAAGUAUCCUCCAGAAAUCCAUGCACAGUCUCCUGCAGGUCCUCACAAACCAAAUGGCGCUGAUAUUUUGGCUAUGUUUUCCAUCAUUCGCCUU